GCCUGCCCAGUGACAAAAUUCAACGGCCGCGGAACUCUGACCGCGCGAAGGUAGCAUAAUCACUUGUUUCCUAAAUAGAGACUAGUAUCAACGGCAUCACGAGGGUUAAACUGUCUCCCCCCCCCAAUCAGUGAAACUGAUCUCCCCGUGAAGAAGCGGGGAUAGCCCUAUAAGACGAGAAGACCCUAUGGAGCUUCAGGCCCGACGGGCAACCUUAAUUAAACAAAGCCGCACACUAAACAGAACCUGCCUGUCCACCUUCGGUUGGGGCGACCGCGGAGUAAAAUAAAACCUCCACAACAAAUAGGACUACACCUUAAUACAAGAGCCACCGCUCUAAGAAUAGACAAAUCAAUGUAAAAUGACCCGAUAAUCGAUCAAUGAACCAAGUUACCCUAGGGAUAACAGCGCAAUCCAUUUCUAGAGCCCCCAUCAACAAAUGGGUUUACGACCUCGAUGUUGGAUCAGGGUAUCCCAGUGGUGCAGCCGCUACUAAAGGUUCGUUUGUUCAACGAUUAAAACCCUAC
rnacentral:rRNA from 1 species